GAAAGGACAUUCUAAUGUAGGGCAAACUACCUACACAGCUCACUUACCAUCUGUGAUCCUCUGUUUGUUUUUCAGGAGGACUCUCUGCCACUGGAACACCUGGCACAUUCAACAAGGACACAGCAGAAGGAUGAGGAACCUGGGAUCGUCUAUUCAGAGGUGAAGAAGGCAUAUCCAGAUGACCCUGCAGGGCAGGCCCAUGAAGAUGCUACA
rnacentral:lncRNA from 12 species